UACGUAGGGGGCAAGCGUUGUCCGGAAUCAUUGGGCGUAAAGCGCGUGUAGGCGGUUCGGUAAGUCGGCUGUGAAAGUCCAGGGCUCAACCCUGGGAUGCCGGUCGAUACUGCCGGACUAGAGUUCGGAAGAGGCGAGUGGAAUUCCCGGUGUAGCGGUGAAAUGCGCAGAUAUCGGGAGGAACACCAAUGGCGAAGGCAGCUCGCUGGGACGGUACUGACGCUGAGGCGCGAAAGCUAGGGGGAGCGAACAGGA
rnacentral:rRNA from 1 species